rnacentral:snRNA from 1 species
AUCGCUUCUCAGCCUUUUGGCUAAGAUGAUGUGUAGUAUCUGUUCUUAUCAGUUUAAUAUCUGAUACAUCCUCUAUCUGAGGACAUCAUAUUAAGUGUAUUUUUGCAAGUAGGAGUUGGAUCAGGAACUUGCUCCAUCCACUCCAUGCAUCAUCCUGGUAUUGCAGUACUUCCAGGGAUGGUGCAGCCCCA